rnacentral:lncRNA from 10 species
AGAUAAUUAGUUUAGAUGCUGAUGGGACCGAGCUGAGAGAGGGAGAACUGAAGAUACAGGAGCAAAGGGGAUGAUGUAGCCAGAUGUAGGCAUCUCCAGGGCAGUUUCCAUCUUUGUUCAGUGCCUGGAGCUCUCAGCUGUGUGUGGAACUGAGGUGAGGAAGAAUGCAUUCCUGAACACAGCCUCACCUCCAGGUGGUGAUUCUUCCAGGGAAGCCUGGGAAGGAGAAGGUUGUUAAAAUCUGGGCCCUGCCCCAAAUCUACUACGUCAGAAUCUCUAGGGUGGAUCCUGGGGAAGACGCAUCUCAACAAGUUCUCCAGGCGCUUGGGAAGAUGUCCUGGACCAAGGUUCCAAGCG